GAUGAACGCUAGCUACAGGCUUAACACAUGCAAGUCGAGGGACCGGCGCACGGGUGAGUAACACGUAUCCAACCUGCCCUUUACUCGGGGAUAGCCUUUCGAAUGACAGAUACAUACCCGAUAUAAAGGAUGGGGAUGCGUUCCAUUAGGUUGUUGGUGAGGUAACGGCGCCCCAAGCAUUCGAUGGAUAGGGGUUCUGAGAGGAGGGCCCCCCACAUGUGAACUGAGACACAGUCCAAACUCCUACGGGCGGCAGCAGUUAGGAAUAUGUGUAAAUUGGUGCUAGCCUGAACCAGCCAAGUGGCGUGAAGGAUGAAGGCUUAUGGGUCGUAAACUUCUUGUAUAUAUGAAUAUGUAUUAUAUGAAUAAGGAUCGGCUAACUCCGUGCCAGCAGCCGCGGUAAUAC
rnacentral:rRNA from 1 species